rnacentral:lncRNA from 1 species
GAAAAGGUCUUCAAGUCUAAAAGAUCGUGUUGACAAUGCUAAGUGAUUGUGUUGACUAGGUAGGUGAUCGUUUAAAUCAUAUCCGUGUUUUGUUUGUUCUUUUUAAACAAUAGAAAAAUGACUUCAAAUCUAAACGAUCGUGUUGACUAUGCUAAAUAAUCGCAUUGACUAGGUAGGCGAUCGUUUAGACCAUGUCCACACGUUCGUAUAGUUCUUUUUAAACAAUCGAAAAAUGGCU